rnacentral:rRNA from 1 species
CCUACGGGUGGCUGCAGUGAGGAAUAUUGGUCAAUGGGCGCGAGCCUGAACCAGCCAAGUAGCGUGAAGGAUGACUGCCCUACGGGUUGUAAACUUCUUUUAUAAAGGAAUAAAGUGAGGCACGUGUGCCCUUUUGUAUGUACUUUAUGAAUAAGGAUCGGCUAACUCCGUGCCAGCAGCCGCGGUAAUACGGAGGAUCCGAGCGUUAUCCGGAUUUAUUGGGUUUAAAGGGUGCGUAGAUGGGUUGUUAAGUCAGUUGUGAAAGUUUGGGGCUCAACCGUAAAAUUGCAAUUGAUACUGGCAGCCUUGAGUACAGUAGAGGUAGGCGGAAUUCGUGGUGUAGCGGUGAAAUGCAUAGAUAUCACGAAGAACUCCGAUUGCGAAGGCAGCAUACUAAACUGCCACUGACGUUGAUGCACGAAAGUGUGGGUAUCAAACAGGAUUAGAUACCCGGGUAGUC